rnacentral:sRNA from 1 species
UUCCUCACUGCUGAGGAUCGUGACCAUUAU